GCUGGACGAGGCGGUAUUGCGCUCCCGUGACCCACCUCUAUCUUCUUGACCAGCGCCAGCGUGUCGUACCACAUCUGGAUGGAUCCCGGCAGCUGCCGCGUCAGCGUCAUGCGCAGCACCAUGCAGUAGGAGGCGGUGGUGAAGAUACGGCGCAGGAUGAUGCCUUUGCUGAGCGCGUGCGGCACAAUGGCCGACACCACCACCAAGAUGGCGGAGAAGAAGUAGGCGGCGCUGUAGAAGUAACGCAAGGAUCCGAUCUUCCUGGUCAGGGUCAUCUCAUCCCUGAAGAGGAGGAGGAGCCAAGGUCACGGUCAGACUUUUUCAUUUGGGCUCGCCAUGUUAGCAUGAUGCUAAUGAUGUCUUUACUGUCUGAUGUUCUUGAUGAUGGUCUCCAUCACGUCCUCCCAGCCGUACGCCUUCACUGAGUGGAUGUUCUCCACAAUCUCUGAGCUUGUUGAGGUGGGCCGACAUCAGACUCACCAGCUGACCCGUGCUGAUUUUAUCCAAGACCCUGCUGGACAGCUUGAGGGUCUGAAAGAAGACAGCACAUGUCAAAGAUGAGACUGAAGAGGGCGAUGCGGAUCUGCAUGCCCAGGUGAUGCAGGCCAAAGAUGGCCGGCUGCAGCAGCAGGAAGCGAGCGGUGAAGAGCAAGCACAGGCCCAGUGCCAGGAAGUAGCCCUGGUUCCGCUCGGGUGCGUGGAAGGGGUCAAAGGAGGCUAUGAUGCGACCCAGAAGCUGAGGCUGCACCGUCUUGGAGGCCUCCUACGAGAAGCGAGCACACAGCAAACGUCCUUCAAAAACAUACAUCAAUGUUCAUGAUAGUAGGUCAUUUACUGGACUCUUCAGGUACAGCAAAACCCAAUUUCAUUUGGUCAUGUCUCAGGCAACAAAGGAUGGAUAUAAAGAGGAGGAUGG